GACAUAGGUGGCGAACGUUAUCCGGAAUUACUGGGCGUAAAGGGUGCGUAGGUGGUUUAAUAAGUUAUCGGUGGCAAAUCGGGGCCCAACCCCGUGGAAGUCGGUAAUACUAUUAGACUAGAGGGCUGGAGAGGUUAACGGAAUGGUUCAUGUAGGGGUAAAAUCCGUAAAUAUGAAUUGGAACACCAAACGGCGAAGGCAGUUAACUAUUCAGUUCCUGACGUUGAGGCACGAAAGCGUGGGGAGCAAGACGG
rnacentral:rRNA from 1 species